rnacentral:rRNA from 1 species
GUCCAAACUCCUACGGGAGGCAGCAGUGAGGAAUAUUGGUCAAUGGGCGCAGGCCUGAACCAGCCAAGUAGCGUGAAGGAUGACUGCCCUAUGGGUUGUAAACUUCUUUUAUAAAGGAAUAAAGUCGGGUAUGUAUACCCGUUUGCAUGUACUUUAUGAAUAAGGAUCGGCUAACUCCGUGCCAGCAGCCGCGGUAAUACGGAGGAUCCGAGCGUUAUCCGGAUUUAUUGGGUUUAAAGGGAGC